rnacentral:rRNA from 1 species
CCUACGGGUGGCAGCAGUGAGGAAUAUUGGUCAAUGGGCGCGAGCCUGAACCAGCCAAGUCGCGUGAGGGAAGACGGUCCUAUGGAUUGUAAACCUCUUUUGUCGGGGAGCAAAAGACGCCACGCGUGGCGUUCCGAGAGUACCCGAAGAAAAAGCAUCGGCUAACUCCGUGCCAGCAGCCGCGGUAAUACGGAGGAUGCGAGCGUUAUCCGGAUUUAUUGGGUUUAAAGGGUGCGCAGGCGGAAGAUCAAGUCAGUGGUAAAAUUGAGAGGCUCAACCUCUUCGAGCCGUUGAAACUGGUUUGCUUGAGUGAGCGAGAAGUAUGCGGAAUGCGUGGUGUAGCGGUGAAAUGCAUAGAUAUCACGCAGAACUCCGAUUGCGAAGGCAGCAUACCGGCGCUCAACUGACGCUCAUGCACGAAAGUGUGGGUAUCGAACAGGAUUAGAUACCCGGGUAGUC